rnacentral:rRNA from 1 species
GAUGAACGCUGGCGGCGUGCCUAAUACAUGCAAGUCGAGCGAACAGACGAGGAGCUUGCUCCUCUGACGUUAGCGGCGGACGGGUGAAUAACACGUGGAUAACCUACCUAUAAGACUGGGAUAACUUCGGGAAACCGGAGCUAAUACCGGAUAAUAUAUUGAACCGCAUGGUUCAAUAGUGAAAGACGGUUUUGCUGUCACUUAUAGAUGGAUCCGCGCCGCAUUAGCUGGUUGGUAAGGUAACGGCUUACCAAGGCAACGAUGCGUAGCCGACCUGAGAGGGUGAUCGGCCACACUGGAACUGAGACACGGUCCAGACUCCUACGGGAGGCAGCAGUAGGGAAUCUUCCGCAAUGGGCGAAAGCCUGACGGAGCAACGCCGCGUGAGUGAUGAAGGUCUUCGGAUCGUAAAACUCUGUUAUUAGGGAAGAACAAAUGUGUAAGUAACUAUGCACGUCUUGACGGUACCUAAUCAGAAAGCCACGGCUAACUACGUG